UACGGGAGGCAGCAGUGGGGAAUAUUGCACAAUGGGCGCAAGCCUGAUGCAGCCAUGCCGCGUGUAUGAAAAAGGCCUUCGGGUUGUAAAGUACUUUCAGUCGUGAGGAAGGUGUUAAGGUUAAUAACCUUAGCAAUUGACGUUAGCGACAGAAGAAGCACCGGCUAACUCCGUGCCAGCAGCCGCGGUAAUACGGAGGGUGCGAGCGUUAAUCGGAAUUACUGGGCGUAAAGGGCACGCAGGCGGUUAAUAAAUUGGAUGUGAAAUCCCCGGGCUUAACCUGGGAAUGGCAUUCAAGACUGGUUAGCUAGAGUCUUGUAGAGGGGGUAGAAUUCCAUGUGUAGCGGUGAAAUGCGUAGAGAUGUGGAGGAAUACCGGUGGCGAAGGCGGCCCCUGGACAAAGACUGACGCUCAUGUGCGAAAGCUGGGGAGCGAAACAGGGAUUAGAUACCCGU
rnacentral:rRNA from 1 species